AUUGAACGCUGGCGGCAUGCUUUACACAUGCAAGUCGAACGGUAACAGGUUAAGCUGACGAGUGGCGAACGGGUGAGUAAUGCAUCGGAACGUGCCCGGUCGUGGGGGAUAACGCAGCGAAAGCUGCGCUAAUACCGCAUACGAUCUGAGGAUGAAAGCGGGGGACCGUAAGGCCUCGCGCGAUCGGAGCGGCCGAUGUCAGAUUAGGUAGUUGGUGGGGUAAAGGCUCACCAAGCCGACGAUCUGUAGCUGGUCUGAGAGGACGACCAGCCACACUGGGACUGAGACACGGCCCAGACUCCUACGGGAGGCAGCAGUGGGGAAUUUUGGACAAUGGGCGAAAGCCUGAUCCAGCCAUGCCGCGUGCAGGAAGAAGGCCUUCGGGUUGUAAACUGCUUUUGUACGGAGCGAAAAGGUCUCAUCUAGUACAGGGGGCUCAUGACGGUACCGUAAGAAUAAGCACCGGCUAACUACGUGCCAGCCGCCGCAGUAA
rnacentral:rRNA from 1 species